CAGCAGCCGCGGUAAUACGUAGGUGGCAAGCGUUGUCCGGAAUUAUUGGGCGUAAAGGGCUCGCAGGCGGUUUCUUAAGUCUGAUGUGAAAGCCCCCGGCUCAACCGGGGAGGGUCAUUGGAAACUGGGAAACUUGAGUGCGGAAGAGGAGAGUGGAAUUCCACGUGUAGCGGUAAAAUGCGUAGAGUUGUGGAGGAACACCGGUGGCGAAGGCGACUCUCUGGUCUGUAACUGACGCUGAGGAGCGAAAGCGUGGGGAGCGAACAGGAUUAGAUACCCCCGUAGUCCCUGUCUCUUAUAA
rnacentral:rRNA from 1 species